rnacentral:rRNA from 1 species
ACUCAAAGGAAUUGACGGGGGCCCGCACAAGCGGCGGAGCAUGCGGAUUAAUUCGAUGCAACGCGAAGAACCUUACCUGGGUUUGACAUCGCCGGAAAUCUCGUAGAGAUACGGGGUCCUUCGGGGCCGGUGACAGGUGGUGCAUGGCUGUCGUCAGCUCGUGUCGUGAGAUGUUGGGUUAAGUCCCGCAACGAGCGCAACCCUUAUCCCAUGUUGCCAGCGGGUUAUGCCGGGGACUCAUGGGAGACUGCCGGGGUCAACUCGGAGGAAGGUGGGGAUGACGUCAAGUCAUCAUGCCCCUUAUGUCCAGGGCUUCACGCAUGCUACAAUGGCCGGUACAAACCGUUGCGAGCCCGUGAGGGGGAGCGAAUCGGAAAAAGCCGGUCUCAGUUCGGAUCGGGGUCUGCAACUCGACCCCGUGAAGUCGGAGUCGCUAGUAAUCGCAGAUCAGCAUUGCUGCGGUGAAUACGUUCCCGGGCCUUGUACACACCGCCCGU